GGAGCCGGCCGGGUGACCGCGGCCCGGAGCUCGUCUUCGGGCUGAGGAAAGUCCGGGCUCCGCAGGGCAGGACGCUGGGGAAAGCCCAGGCGAGGCGACUCGCGGAAAGUGCCACAGAAAACAGACCGCCGCUCAUUUGAGCGGUAAGGGUGAAACGGUGAGGUAAGAGCUCACCAGCGCGCCGGGCGAUCGGCGCGGCUCGGCAAACCCCGUCCGGAGCAAGGCCAAGCAGGAGGUAUCGGCGGCCCGCCGCCUCGGUUUCGAGGAGCCUCCGGGUAGGCCGCACGAGGCGAGCGGCAACGCUCGUCCCAGAUGGAUGGUCACCGCGCUCGCGAGAGCGGCACAGAACCCGGCUUACAGGCCGGCUCCACUU
rnacentral:RNase_P_RNA from 1 species